AGACCCUGACAAAAAUAAUGCUUUUUGAACGUUGGCUUUGUCGGCGGAGUCGAGGAUACAAGUAAAUCUUCAAGAUUUAUGAGUAAGAAAUUAACCGC
rnacentral:ncRNA from 1 species